rnacentral:rRNA from 1 species
AGUGAACGCUGGCGGUAGGCCUAACACAUGCAAGUCGAACGGCAGCACAGUAAGAGCUUGCUCUUACGGGUGGCGAGUGGCGGACGGGUGAGGAAUACAUCGGAAUCUACUUUUUCGUGGGGGAUAACGUAGGGAAACUUACGCUAAUACCGCAUACGACCUACGGGUGAAAGCAGGGGAUCUUCGGACCUUGCGCGAUUGAAUGAGCCGAUGUCGGAUUAGCUAGUUGGCGGGGUAAAGGCCCGCCAAGGCGACGAUCCGUAGCUGGUCUGAGAGGAUGAUCAGCCACACUGGAACUGAGACACGGUCCAGACUCCUACGGGAGGCAGCAGUGGGGAAUAUUGGACAAUGGGCGCAAGCCUGAUCCAGCCAUACCGCGUGGAUGAAGAAGGCCUUCGGGUUGUAAAGCCCUUUUGUUGGGAAAGAAAAGCAGCAGGUUAAUACCCCGCUGUUCUGACGGUACCCAAAGAAUAAGCACCGGCUAACUUCGUG